rnacentral:rRNA from 1 species
GUGGGGAAUCUUGCGCAAUGGGCGAAAGCCUGACGCAGCCAUGCCGCGUGGAUGAUGAAGGUCUUAGGAUUGUAAAAUCCUUUCACCGGUGAAGAUAAUGACUGUAGCCGGAGAAGAAGCUCCGGCUAACUUCGUGCCAGCAGCCGCGGUAAUACGAAGGGGGCUAGCGUUGCUCGGAAUUACUGGGCGUAAAGGGCGCGUAGGCGGACAGCUUAGUCAGAGGUGAAAGCCCAGGGCUCAACCUUGGAAUUGCCUUUGAUACUGACUGUCUUGAGUUUGGGAGAGGUGAGUGGAACUCCGAGUGUAGAGGUGAAAUUCGUAGAUAUUCGGAAGAACACCAGUGGCGAAGGCGACUCACUGGCCCAAUACUGACGCUGAGGCGCGAAAGCGUGGGGAGCAAACAGGAUUAGAAACCCCAGUAGUCC